GAUGAACGCUAGCGGUGUGCCUAAUGCAUGCAAGUCGAACGGGAUCUUUGGAUUCGUCUGAAGGUGAGAGUGGCGAACGGGUGAGUAACACGUAGGUGACCUGCCCCGGAGAGGGGGACAACCACUGGAAACGGUGGCUAAUACCCCAGAUGUUAUUGCGCUUAGAAAGCAAUUACUAAAGUUCCGGCGCUCCGGGAGGGGCCUGCGGCCCAUCAGCUUGUUGGUAAGGUAAUGGCUUACCAAGGCUAAGACGGGUAGGGGGCGUGAGAGCGUGACCCCCCACACUGGUACUGAGACACGGACCAGAUACCUGCGGGUAGCAGCAGCAAGGAAUAUUGCCCAAUGGACGAAAGUCUGAGGCAGCAACACCGCGUGGAGGAUGAAGGCCUCGGUUGUAACGUACCUUUCUUC
rnacentral:rRNA from 1 species